CCAUGGAAAAGGAUGGCACCCCCCUUUCUCUAAGUUGCCUAAAAAGAAGGAAGGGGCGUCCAAGAGUUGGACACCCUAAAACUCCACACGCCAAGCCCUCAUCUCAUGCCUCUUUGGAAGGGGUUUUCAAGAGAUUUUGCUGUUGGUUUCAAGGCAUCAAAGAGAGUCUCUCUUGCUGGUUUUAUAAUAGAAAAUGGAGA
rnacentral:lncRNA from 1 species